ensembl:lncRNA
AUCACACCUUGCUCCGUCCAAGACAAUUCAGUACAUAGGAGCAUGCCUAGACGCCAACUUGGGCCGUGUCUUCCUUCCCAUCGAGAGGAUCCACAAAAUAAAAAGAGCCAUCACAAAGUUCCACCCCCACGGACGUGUCACGGCACAUCAUGUACAACACCUCCUCGGCCUUAUGUCAUCCACUACUGCAGCCCUCGCACACGCACGGCUCAAGCUACGGUCACUCCAGUCAUGGUAUCUGUCUCUCUUCAAUCCUCUACUACACUCCCAGAACAAGCGCCUUCGUGUCACCCCAGAAUUGGUCAAGCAACUCCAGUGGUGGACUUACACCCCUCAUCUUAUGGUGGGUCGUCCCUUCUGUCCGCUCAGACUGUCUGUCCAAGUAACGACGGAUGCCAGCCCAUCAGGAUGGGGGGCACACUGCGAACAACACGACAUUCAUGCCCUUUGGACACCACAGGAGGCGAACCUUCACAUAAACCACUUGGAGUUGCUAGCUGUCAUCAAGGCCUUCCGAUCCUUUCUCCCCCUAGUGCAGGGCCGUGGCGUCCAGCUAGUCACGGACAACACCACCAUGAUGCACUAUGUCAACAAACAAGGGGGAACCAGAUCCCAGUCACUUCUGUAUCUUACCAUUCACCUCUGGGAAUGGUGUUACCAACAUCAUGUUUACCCGGUUGCCAUCCAUGUGGCCACGGAAGACAACUUUCUAGCAGACACCUUGAGUCGUCUCCAAUACCAAACACACAAAUGGGAACUGAACCCUCUUGCCUUCCAGAAUCUUUGUCGCAAAUGGGGUCAACCGGUACUGGACGUUUUUGCAUCUCCUCAAAAUGCGAAGUGUGCCAGGUACGCGUCGAGAGCCGGCAGGGGUCGGAAUUCCCUCGGAGACGCCUUCAUGAUUCCUUGGAAUCAGGGAUUGCUCUACAUGUUUCCACCUCUUCCCUUGAUUCAGAGAUCCUUGGUAAGACUCCGUCGUGCUCCAGUGGGAGCAAUUUUCAUAGCACCAUUCUGGCCUCGACAAGUAUGGUUUCCCACAUUGGUCAAGAUGGCUACAGCGUACGAGAGGCUUCCUUUGUGGCCCACUCUACUAACCCAGGACGACGGCAAGAUCCUCCAUCCAGACCUGGAGACACUCCAUCUAACAGCAUGGAGGAUCUCCCCGGGGUCAAAGAGAUCUUGGAUAAUGCAGUAAAGCCUUCUACAUCUCGGCUAUACAGCUAUAAGUGGAGAAGUUUUUUGAAUUUCACUCAACAAAGGGAGUUGCUACCUUCCCCAGCCUCUCUGUCUACACUGUUGCAGUUUCUUCGCUACCUUUUUGAUUUUGGACUUUCCCUCUCCACCAUCAAAGUCUAUCUGGCGGCUAUUGUUUUCUUCCAGCCAAAGGAUUCCCCUUCCUCACGUUUGUUCUCACACCCUACAGUUAGAGCCUUCUUGAAAGGACUCUCUCAUCUGCGGCCGCCCACUCGUCCUCCGAUCCCACAAUGGUCGUUAAAUUUGGUUCUACAUACCCUUUCUAGGCCCCCCUUCGAACCAAUGGCCACCUGUGAUCUCAAGAUGCUUUCUCUCAAAACCUUGUUCUUGGUGGCCAUAACAUCUGCCAGGAGGGCUAGCGAACUGGCUGCACUUCGCUCCGACCAGCCUUUCCUUCAGUUUUUCAAGGACAAGGUCAUGCUUUAUUUGGAUGUUUCCUUCCUCCCCAAGGUGGUAUCGGACUUUCACGUGAACCAGCCGCUCAUACUUCCUACGUUAUUCCCAUCUCCGACUAACGACAUCGAGCGCAUGCUCCACAUGCUUGAUGUUCGAAGAUCCUUGGCCUUCUAUGUCUCCAGAACCAAGGACUUUAGGAAGGCUAACAGACUUUUCCUCUGUUUCUUCGGGACCAAAAAGGGUUCUCCAGCAUCGCCUUCAACGCUCUCUCGUUGGCUCGUCUCUACCAUUACACUUUCCUAUGAGUUGAAUCAUAGAGAACCUCCAGAAGGACUCAGAGCCCAUUCUACCCGGGCAAUAGCCUCAUCCACUGCCCUACUCCGUGGCGUCGACCUUCCAGACAUCUGUCGGUCCACUACGUGGUCCAACGCCUCCACCUUUAUC